UCCCUGUGACAGUGAGCGGCUGUAAACAUCCUCGACUGGAAGCUGUGAGGCUGCAGAAAGGCUUUCAGUCGGAUGUUUGCAGCUGCUGACUGCCGCCCACGUCAGGA
ensembl:miRNA MIR30A microRNA mir-30a